rnacentral:rRNA from 1 species
UACGUAGGGGGCUAGCGUUGUCCGGAAUCAUUGGGCGUAAAGCGCGUGUAGGCGGUCCGGUAAGUCCGCUGUGAAAGUCGGGGGCUCAACCCUCGGAUGCCGGUGGAUACUGUCGGGCUUGAGUACGGAAGAGGCGAGUGGAAUUCCUGGUGUAGCGGUGAAAUGCGCAGAUAUCAGGAGGAACACCUGUGGUGUAGACAGCUUACGUGGACCACUUCUGACGCUGAGGACGAAAGC